UACGUAGGGGGCGAGCGUUGUUCGGAAUUACUGGGCGUAAAGGGCGCGUAGGCGGUUUGCUAAGUUGAAUGUGAAAACUCUGGGCUUAACCCAGAGCCUGCAUUCAAUACUGGCAGGCUAGAGUUCUGGAGGGGAUAGCGGAAUUCCUGGUGUAGCGGUGAAAUGCGUAGAUAUCAGGAGGAACACCGGUGGCGAAGGCGGCUAUCUGGACAGAGUCUGUCGCUGAGGCGCGAAAGCUAGGGGAGCAAACAGG
rnacentral:rRNA from 1 species